AGGGACGUGACAGGAGGGGGUGAAUUAUUUCACGAAGAUAGAAGAAGGCUGCGUGAAAUAGACUAAAAGCUAAAUACAAUCAUACAAAUGUUUGUUUUAUUUCUUGUAGCGACAAAUAUAUACAUAUUAUUAUUUAUUAUAAACAUAAAGUCAUACAAAUUAAAUGUUGAUUGUUGGUUUUACCAUACUGUGUGGGCUUUCCUUUCAUUUUCAAGUCCCUACCCCCCCUGUCACGUCCCUGUUGCUAAACCACGCGAGAUUUGUACGGAAUGUUUUGAAGGACUCGUAAACAACAUUUUACACGGUGAUAAAAUGGCGUAUUUCUUGUAUUUUGUUUAGAUUUUUUAGUUUCCUCCUGUUAUAAAGGGUUAAAUUUAUUAUUAGUGGAAUGGAAAUGGCUUGGAUGGAAGAGUAACAAGGCUGAAUUGUUAACAAGCGACAUGUGAUGACAAAAUGGCGCCGAAUUUGGACGAAGUUGUGGAUUUACCUUGUCGAUGGUUAAACAGGUAUGAUCUACUUGAAACCAAGUUGAAACUUGUUUAAAAUGUUCUUGAUACCAUUAUGUCUGAGAUGAUUUACAUUUUUUGUAGGAUGUCGACGAGAUCGCCGAUAAACAGCGGAGUAAAGUGGAGAACUUGGCCAAAUACGUCCAUUUGCAG